UACGAACUGUGCAAACGUUAUUCGGAAUCACUGGGCUUACAGGGUGCGUAGGCGGCCUGUCAAGUAGGGUGUGAAAGCCCCCGGCUCAACCGGGGAAUUGCGCCCUAAACUGUCGGGCUGGAGUGAGAUAGGGGUGUGUGGAACUUCCGGUGGAGCGGUGAAAUGUGUUGAUAUCGGAAGGAACGCCGGUGGCGAAAGCGACACACUGGAUCUUGUCUGACGCUGAGGCACGAAAGCCAGGGGAGCGAACGGG
rnacentral:rRNA from 1 species